AGCAGCCGCGGUAAUUCCAGCUUCAAUAGCGUAUAUUAAAGUUGUUGCAGUUAAAAAGCUCGUAGUUGAAUUUCGGGAUUAAUAGGUUGGUCAUGCCCUCGGUAUGUACUGAUUUCAUUGGUUCUCACCUUCUAAGGAAUCAUAAUGUCAUUCGUUUGAUGUUGUGGGGAAUUAGGACUGUUACCUUGAAAAAAUUAGAGUGUUUAAAGCAGGCUAACGCUUGAAUACAUUAGCAUGGAAUAAUGAAAUAGGACAUCCGAUUCUAUUUUGUUGGUUUCUAGGAUCGAUGUAAUGAUUAAUAGGGAUAGUUGGGGGCAUUAGUAUUCAAUUGUCAGAGGUGAAAUUCUUGGAUUUAUGAAGACUAACUACUGCGAAAGCAUUUGUCAAGGAUGUUUUCAUUAAUCAAGAACAAAAGUUAGGAGACCGAAGACGAUCAGAUACUGUCGUAGU
rnacentral:rRNA from 1 species